GCCCCAGUGGCGCAAUUGGUUAGCGCACGGUAGUUAUAAUGCCGGGGUUGUGAGUUCGAGCCUCACCUGGGGCA
rnacentral:tRNA from 1 species